rnacentral:rRNA from 1 species
GACGAACGCUGGCGGCGUGCUUAACACAUGCAAGUCGAACGGAAAGGCUCCAGCUUGCUGGAGUACUCGAGUGGCGAACGGGUGAGUAACACGUGGGUGAUCUGCCCUGCACUUCGGGAUAAGCCUGGGAAACUGGGUCUAAUACCGGAUAGGACCGCACUUUGGUGUGUGUGGUGGAAAGGUUUUUCUGGUGUGGGAUGAGCUCGCGGCCUAUCAGUUUGUUGGUGGGGUAAUGGCCUACCAAGACGGCGACGGGUAGCCGGCCUGAGAGGGUGGACGGUCACAUUGGGACUGAGAUACGGCCCAGACUCCUACGGGAGGCAGCAGUGGGGAAUAUUGAACAAUGGGGGAAACCCUGAUGCAGCGACGCCGCGUGGGGGAUGAAGGCCUUCGGGUUGUAAAAUCCUUUCGCUAGGGACGAAGCUUUUUGUGACGGUACCUGGAGAAGAAGCACCGGCUAACUACGUG